rnacentral:rRNA from 1 species
UCAGUCGACUCCUACGGGGAGGCAGCAGUGGGGGAAUAUUGGACAAUGGGGGGGAACCCUGAUCCAGCCAUGCCGCGUGUGUGAAGAAGGCCUUAUGGUUGUAAAGCACUUUAAGCGAGGAGGAGGCUACUGAGGACUAAUACUCUUGGAUAGUGGACGUUACUCGCAGAAUAAGCACCGGCUAACUCUGUGCCAGCAGCCGCGGUAAUACAGAGGGUGCGAGCGUUAAUCGGAUUUACUGGGCGUAAAGCGUGCGUAGGCGGCUUUUAAGUCGGAUGUGAAAUCCCCGAGCUUAACUUGGGAAUUGCAUUCGAUACUGGGAAGCUAGAGUAUGGGAGAGGAUGGUAGAAUUCCAGGUGUAGCGGUGAAAUGCGUAGAGAUCUGGAGGAAUACCGAUGGCGAAGGCAGCCAUCUGGCCUAAUACUGACGCUGAGGUACGAAAGCAUGGGGAGCAAACAGGAUUAGAUACCCUGGUAG